UACGUAGGUGGCAAGCGUUGUCCGGAAUUACUGGGUGUAAAGGGUGCGCAGGCGGGAUUGCAAGUUGGAUGUGAAAUACCGGGGCUUAACCCCGGAGCUGCAUCCAAAACUGUAGUUCUUGAGUGGAGUAGAGGUAAGCGGAAUUCCGAGUGUAGCGGUGAAAUGCGUAGAUAUUCGGAGGAACACCAGUGGCGAAGGCGGCUUACUGGGCUCUAACUGACGCUGAGGCACGAAAGCAUGGGUAGCAAACAGG
rnacentral:rRNA from 1 species